rnacentral:snRNA from 1 species
CCAGAGGCCAAGAGAGGGAAAUACCAUGUAAUAAAACUGGUUUUCCCAGGCAAAGGUUCAUCCAUUGUACUUUGGGUGUGCUGUUGAUCCCUGUGAUUUCCCCAAAUGUGGGGAGCUCAACUGCAUAAUUUAUGUUAAUAGGAGAUUGCACCUG